rnacentral:lncRNA from 1 species
CUCCUGCCUCAGCCUCCCGAGUAGCUGGGACUACAGGCACCUGCCACCUCACCCGGCUAGUUUUUUGUAUUUUUAGUAGAGAUGGGGUUUCACCAUGUUAGCCAGGAUGGUCUCGAUCUCCUGACCUCGUGAUCCGCCCACCUCGGCCUCCCAAAGUGCUGGGAUUACAGGCGUGAGCCACUGCGCCUGGUCUAACUUCUUUCUUAUUUUUUUGAGACGGAGUCUUGCUCUGUCACCCAGGCUGUCACAAUCUCGGCUCACUGCAACCUCCACCUCCCAGGUUCAAACAAUUCUCCUGCCUCAGCCUCCCGAGUAGCUGAGAUUACAGGCAUGCGCCACCAUGCCUGGGCUCAUUUUUGUAUUUUUAGUAGAGAUGGAGUUUCACCAUCUUGGCCAGGAUGGUCUCGAACUCCUGACCUCGUGAUCUGCCCACCUCAGCCUCCCAAAGUGCUGGGAUUUCAGGCGUGAGCCACCGUGUCUGGCCCUUUCUUUUUUGUUUUUUAAGAGACAGGAUCUCACUUUGUCUCCCAGGCUGGCGUGCAGUGGCAGUCGCAGCUCACUGCAGCCUCGACCUCCUGGGUUCAAGUGAUUCUCCCGCCUUAGCCACUCGAGUAGCUGAGACUACAGGUACACACUGCCACACGUGGCUAAUUUUUGUAUUUUUCUGUAGAGUCAGGGUCUUGCCAUGUUGCCCAGGCUGGUCUCAAACUCCUGGGCUCAAGUGAUCCUCCCACCCUUUGAAACUCUGAAGCCAAACAGUGGCUUCUCUCCAGCUACGAAAGUCUUAGAUGGCCUCUUCUUCCAGUGGAAAGUUGUUUUGUCUACAUUGAAAAUGUGUUGUUUAGGAUAGCCACCUUCAUCAGUGUUCUUAGCUUUGCUGAACCAGGGACCCCAUAACCCUACCCUAGGAUUCAAGGUGGAAGAUACCAUCCCAGGAUGUGGGAUGGAGGAGACAGUCCAGGUCUCUGAGGGAAAAGCAGAGAGAAAGGCAGGCAGGCACCAUGUUUCCAGGCCACUGCCCCAGAUCUCCGGAGUGCCUAGAGACGGCACUCUCUCCUGCCCUUCAGCUUGUGGUAUCAAAAGUUCAGAGAGACGCUUGGAAUUCCUAGGAAUCCUGAGUCAGAAGCCCAAGAUGGAGAGGGGACCCUGCUGGUCCUGAGUCCUUCUCUGCGGCCCAGAUCCCUAUCCCAGCUCCUAGAACCCAUGCUCAGGGUUGCAGAGGGCAGGGCUGGCAUGGGGGCAAUCCCAGGGCAGUGAGCACUGGGACUCCCAGUGGGGUGUCGGCUCAGUGACUGGCAGAGCUGGCUUCGUGUUUCAUAGACCCACAUACGGUUUGUGAACUUUAGGGGGUCUUAAAAAUGUAAAGGCCCUUAUCAUUGGAUGUUAAAGCCCAAUAAUGACGUGAUUAUUAUCUUGUAAAAGCUCCCUUGUCUUUGAUAGACAUACACAGAUGAUGGGCCGUGGGAGAUGGACGGGGGUCCGGAGACGAAAGGCGGGCCAUGAGCUCCUCACUGUUGAAGCUGGUGAGGACCCAGGCUGAUGGAAUGACUGCUGCCUAGAACAUUGCAGGUCUUCCCAGAUGAGACACAGAGGCUCUGGAGGGUCGUGCAAUAAUACUGCCUCACCGGAAGCUGAGCCUGGUACACGCAGAGCCCACAGGACACCCACAAGAGUCACAUACCUGCCAUUGACCACCUCUGGGCUUUUAAUACCGAAACUUCAAAGAACUUAUGUGUCUCUCAUUACACUUGCUAGCAAUAUUUAUACAGGAACAUGUUGUAUUUAUAUCCCCAAAAAUCAGUAAGAGAAUUUUAACAAAACCAUGUAUGGGAAAAGUCUUAAGUCACAUUUCAGAAACAAUGUGUAGUGGUUGUAAUAACAUGGGGGCAUUUUGCAAAGUUUGAGAACCAACAAAGAGGCGUGCGCACAGCCAGGGUGGGGCUGGGGCUCCUGCAGAGAGAUUUGCUCCACCCUGCGUUCAGGACGCCACCUGCACGAAAUGUUAAGUUCACCUGCGUGUCGUGUGUGUUACUGGCAUACACGCUUCCCUGGUUUAUAGUAACAUUGUAAUUUUUCUCAUUUUUUAAAAGUAAUCCCAGCACUUUGGGAGGCCGAGGCGGGCGGAUCACGAGGUCAGGAGAUCGAGACCAUCCUGGCUAACACGGUGAAACCCCGUCUCUCCUAAAAAUACAAAAAAUUACCCGGGCGUGGUGGCGGGCGCCUGUAGUCCCAGCUGCUCGGGAGGCUGAGGCAGGAGAAUGGCGUGAACCUGGGAGGCAGAGCUUGCAGUGAGCGGAGAUCGUGAGCUCACUGAGUGAGCGAGACUCCGUCUCAAAAAAAAAAAAAAAAAAAUUUUGUGUUUUUUGAGACAGGGUCUCCAUCUGUUGCCCAGGCUGGAAUACAGUGGUAUGAUCACAACUCACUGCCAUGAGUCUGGGAGCCUCGACCUCCAGAGCUCAAGCAAUCCUCCCGUCUCAGCCUCCCAAAUAGCUGGGACCAUAGCAGUGUGCCACCAUGCCUGGCUAAUUUUUGUAUUUUCUGUAGAGAUGGGGGUCUCACUAUGUUGCCCUGGCUAGUCUCGAACUCCUGGGCUCAAGUGAUACUCCCACCUUGACCUCCCAAAGUGCUUGGAUUAAGGCGUGAGCUACCACACCUGGCCAUUUUUCUCAUUUAAAAUAGAUUAUUGGCCGGGCAUGGUGGCUCAUGCCUGUAAUCCGAGCACUUUGGGAGGCUGAGGCGGGUGGAUCACUUGAGGUCAGGAGUUUGAGACCAGCCUGGCCAAUAUGGUGAAAUCCCAUCUCUACUAAAAUACAAAAAUUAGCCGGAUGUGGUGGUGGUCACUUGUAAUCCCAGCUACUGGGGAGGCUGAGGCAGGAGAAUGGCUUGAACCCAGGAGGCAGAGGUUGCAGUGAGCUGAGAUCGCACCACUGCACUCCAGCCUGGGCAAUGAAGUGAGGUUCCAUCUCAAAAUAAUAAUAAUAAUAAAAUAAAAUAGAUUCUCAACUGAAGGUUCUUGGUAUUAAGUGGAGACAUUAAGUGGAGGGCGUGUGUGUGAGUGCCAGUGGCACCCGCGGACGCUUUUUUCAAAUGACGUGUAUUCAUGGCAUGGACUGCCAUUUUUCACAUUUUCUGUUGACUUUCAUUGGUUGGUGCUGCAAAUGAGCAGGUCACGCUAAGGCUGUGGGUAAUCGCCGCCAUCCUCACUCCUCAGCUGAUCCUUCCCAUGCCCAGAGAGGCUGAAAUAAAAAUGAAAUUUAUAAUCCUGGCAGGGCGCGGUGGCUCACGCCCGUAAUCCCAACACUUUGGGAGGCCGAAGCGGGUGGAUCACGAGGUCAGGAGAUCGAGACCAUCCUGGCCAACAUGGUGAAACCCCGUCUCUACUAAAAAUACAAAAACAAAAUUAGCCGGGCGUGGUGGCAGGCGUGUGUAGUCCCAACUACUCGGGAGGCUGAGGCAGGAGAAUGGCAUGAACCCGGGAGGUGGAGGUUGCAGUGAGCCGAGAUCGUGCCCCUGCACUCCAGCCUGGUGACAGAGCGAGAACUGUCUCAACAACAACAACAAAAAAGAAGAAAUUUAUAAUCCUUUGAGUAUUAUAUAUUAUAAAGUAACCAGGAUCUAGUUGUUUCGUUUUGUUUUGUUUUUUACCAAUUGGAAUAAUUCACGUUUAAUGUUUCCAAACCCUUCUGCCUGCAACCGCCGUCCUGGGGAUGAGAAAUCUCUGGGGAGGAGGAGUUUGGGGGCCAGCAUCUUGUGUCGGGGCAUGGGUUGUUGAGAUGACGCUAGCACCCCCCAUCCCCCGCCCCUGCCUACUGGGCUGGUUUCCCCUCCAGGGGGUGAGGUGGCGCCUCCCAGAUGGGACACAGCCUGCUGUCCCCACUUUAGUCAGAAAGCAGGAGUGAGACAGGUGGCCGGGACGAGACGCUGGGGCUGGUAGGCGCUUUGCUGCCAUCUGCUGGGGAGCCCGCAGCAGCCGCCGCCGUGGACCUUGUGCUGGUGGAAAGCACAAAACCACUGUCCACGUGAAGGCCGCCCAUGUCCUGGCAGCGCCCCUGAGGGGUGGCCUCCUGCAACCACCCACCUGCAACCACCCACCUGCAACCACCCAGGGGGCUGCAAAGCCACUCUGCUCGUGCUGGCCUGGCCUCUGAACCUAUCACAACAUAAGACAGAAGAGGACUGAAUGGGGUGCGGCCCAGCGUACGCUGCUCAGCCUGGUCUUCGUGAAUGGGCUCCAUCCAGCCUCUGUCCUCAGAGACGGCAGGUGGUGCCUCAUCUUCCUGGCAGACCUGGAGGGAGUGUGGGUAGAGUGGGACCCAGCCAGGAGUCCAGGCCCUGAAGCCAAGGGCAGGCCCAUGUCUCCACCACCCCACAGUCUAGCAUCCUCAGACCAGGCCCAAGAGAAGCCCCACUCCUGAGCAGGGGGAGGGAAGGGGAGGCCGGGGACUCAGGCAGCUGCCCCCUAGAGUGGGAAGGAAGGGCCCCAGCGUUUCCCAGCUCUAGCCCCACUUAGCUUUUGGUCCCUUUGCUGUGGUCCCCAGGGGUGUGGCUUCCUCGGGGGGCUGAAGCCAGCAGUCCCUCAGCAAACACGCACAGGGCUCCAGGGUGGGGGAUAAGACUCUGCCCCCAAAAGGCUCUGAAAUGUGUCAGGAUGUGACAUGGUGGAACUGACCAGGUUUCCAGCAGGUCUGCGGGGCUGAGGCUUGCAUCCCCUGGGAGGCUGACAUGCGCUGUCUGGCACGGAAGGUGGAUAUCCCCUCAGCUAUGCCUUCUUUGUUCACUGGCUGGAAUACUUCCGCGAUGACAAACCUCCCUCUCAUGCUGUUUGGUUACCCAGCGGCCCAUCUGCAUAGGAAAGACAGAAUAAGAGCUUGAUUCUUUUCUUUUAUUUAUCAAUUUUAAAAAUGUAAGCUUGUUGCCGGGAUCUCCUAAGGACGAUCAGUUAAUUUUUUUUUUUAACUCAGGGAUUUAAGCGGGUGAGUUGAGUAAGCUGAAGGUGUCCCAUCUUCCGAACGCGUUUCUAGGACGGCAAAGCCUCCUGUUCCGAGACGGGUAGAGCAGGAAGCCACUUCCCACAGAUCACAGCUGCCCCAUCCCUUCAGGGCGUCCUGCCUUGCCUCGAACUCCUGGGCUCAAGUGGUCCAUUCCCUUUCCUUAGAGUGUGGGAUGAAUGCCUCCAGGAGAGAGGUUCCUCCUCCGGGUCAGCAGCUGCAGCUACCUAAGCAUUCUCUUCCUCACCCAGCAGGGCCCGCAGCCCAGGGUUAUGGCGAGACUCCAGUUCAGGGUGGCGGCUGCCAGGGAGCUGUGGGUUGGUCGGCUGGAACCAGCUGAGGCCUCAGAACCAAGAAGCCCUUCCAUGCCAGGCCCAGGGAGGAGGAGCCUGUUGACAGCGUUGUCCCUGGGACCUGGUGGGCAAACAGGCCGGGGGCGAGAGCUUGGGACCCAGAGACCCGGGUCCUGCCUGCAUAUGAUCCAGUAGGGAGGGCAAGCUGGUCUGCCCCCGAGGCCCAGCCACCGUGCUGGGCUGUCCUGAGAGGCCCUGGAGGACAGGUGCGAUGCUCGGUGGGCUGUCUCCACAAUAUACAAACAUCAGUUGUAUUUCAUGCUAGCAGUAGGCAAUCCAAACAUGAGACUAAGCAAACAGCUCCACACACAAUAGCACUGCAAAUAAUAAAAUACUCAGGAAUAAACGUAGCCAAAGAAAGUCAAGACUUGUAUAUUUAAGACUAGAAAACAUUACUGAAGGAAAUGAAGAGGACAUGAUUGAACGGAAAGUCAUCUCAGCAUCACUCCCCAAGCUGACCUGCAAAUUCAGUGCAAUCCCCAUCACAAUUCCACUGUCUCCUGCCUGGGGGCUGCCCCUCCCCAUAUCAGCCCUCUGCCCAGGACACAAGACUGCUGGGUGGCCUUGUGUGUGUGUUGGGGUGGGAGGGCUCCACUCCUGUCUGUGGCGUGCAGCCCUGCUCAAUGCAUUCCCAGCACUGAAGAACGGCCUCUCCCAGGGCCCAGCAGUUGGGGCAGCCUUCCUCCUGAGGUAGGAGGCAGGACUCAACUCCGGAGGUGGGGUUUGGACACUGGACCAAAGUGAGGAUUAGCUAAAACAAGUGUCUUACAGGGAGGUGGAAGCACCUCCCUGUAAGACACGCCCACCAGUGUGCCAUGUCAUUUUACCAUUCCGUGGUAACACCCAGAAGUUACUGCCCCUUUCCAUGGCAACAACCAGACAAGCCAGAAGUUGCCACCCUCAUCCUGGAAAUUUCUGCAUAAACCGCCCCUUAAUUUGCAUGUAAGUAAAAGUGGGCAGGCUGGAUGCCCUGGUUCAUCCCUGUAUUCCCAGCACUUUGUGAGUCCGAGGUAGGAGGAUCACCUCGGCCCAGGAGUUCAAGGCUGCGGUGAGCCCUGAUGGCGCCACCAGACUCCAGCUUGGGUGACAGAGCAAGACCCUGUCUCAAAAAAAAAAAAAUUUGGGGUAUAAAUUUGACUUCAGCCCUGCCUCAGCUGCGACUCUGGGUGCACUGCCUGUCGGGUGGUCCCUGUUCUCAAGGAGCAGCCCCUUUGCUGCAGGUCUGGUUGGCCACUUAGUAACAGUUGCUGUCUAGGCUGGGUGCAGGGGCUCACUCCUGGAAUCCCAGCACUUUGGGAGGCCAAUGUGGGCGGAUUGCUUGAGCCCAGGAGUUCAAGACCCGCCUGGGCAACAUGGCAAAACCCCGUCUUUACAACAAAAAAAUACAAAAAUUAGCUGGGUGUGGUGGCACACGUCUGUAGUCCCAGCUACUCGGGAGACUGAGACAGGAGGAUUGCUUGAGCCCAGGAGGUCAAGGCUGCAAUGAGCUAUGAUGGCACCACUGUGCUCCAGCCUGGGCGACAGAGAAAGAUCCUGUCUCAAAAAAUUAAAAGUUGCUGUCUAACACACCGGCUCGUCCUUGAAUUCUUUCCCAGGCUCAGCCUCAAUUUUGGGGCUCACCUGUCUGGCAUCGCUGCUGCUUCUGGAAUGUUCAGGAGCCCACAUGUUUCCUGAUUGGGGUCAGCCAUUUUGAUGAUGAAAUUUGUAAUAUUAAGUUGUUUCGUUGGGACUUUUCAGAACCAGGUGAAUACACAGCAGAUAAAACACCUUGGAGGCUGGGCGUGGUGGUUGAAGCACUGGUAUUUCCAUCAGCUCAGUGUGAGAGCUCUGGUUGCUGUACCUCCCAUCAACAUUUGACAUGUUUAGUCUUUUUAAAUUUUCAGGCAUUCUAGUGGGUGCAUGAUGGUGUCUCACUGUAAUUUUAAUUUCUAUCUUCCUAAUGACUAAUGUUCUUGCAUCUUUUUAUGUGCUGUUCGCCAUCCAUAUAUCUUCACUGGUGAAAGGUCUGUUGAAAUCUUUUGUCUAUUUCUAAAUUGGAUUAUUUCUGUUUAUUGAGUGCUGGGGGUUCUUUGUAUAUUCUGGAUACAAGUCCUUUAUCAGUUAUGUGAUUUACAAGUAUUAUUCCCAGUCUGUGGCUUGUCUUUUUAUUUUCUUAACAGUGUAUUUUAAAGGGCAUAAGUUCCUAAUUUUGAUGAAGUCCAAUUUAUCGAUCUCUUUCUUCUAUAGAUCAUAAUUUUAGUGUUAUAUUUCAGAAAUAUAACUCAAAAAUGACAAAGAUUUUUCUCUUACAUUUUCCUUUAGAUGGUUUAUCAUUUUAGAUUCCAGUUGUGAUCCAUUUUGGGAUAAUUUUUGCACAUGGUGUGAGAUUAAUUUUUUGCAUAUAGAUGGUGAAAAGAUCAUUAUUUUUUCACUGAAGUUCUUCUGUACCUUUACUUAAAAUCAAAUGACAAUAGAUGCAUGGGUCUAUUUCUGGACUCGGUUGAUCUAUAUUUCUGUGUUAAUAUCAAUACCUCGCUGUCUUGAUUACAAUAGACUUGCAACAGCCCUUCAAGUCAGAUGGUGGACGUCCCCUCAAUUCACUUUUCUUUUUCAAGGUUGUUUCAGCUGCUCUUGGUCCUUUGCAUUUCCAUAUUAAUUUUAGAAUCAGUUUGUCAAUUUCCACACACAAAAAAACCUACUGGAAUUCUGAUUGGGUAGCACUGACCUGUAGUUCAAGUUGGAGAGCAUAUCUCAGCAAUAUCGAGUCUUCCAGUACAUGAACAAGGUCUGUCUCUACAUGGACUUAGGAGUUUAAUUUCUCUCAUCAAUGUUUGGCAGUGUUCAGUGUUCAGGUCUUGCACAUCUUAUCAGAAUUAUUCAUAUUUCACAUUUUUGAUGCUAUUUUAAGUAAUGUUUUAAAUUUCACUUUAUAAUUGUCCAUUAUUAGAACAUAGACGUACAGCUGAUUUUUAUAUCUUGAUCUUGUUUCCCACAGUCUGGCUAAACUCAAUAGUUCUAGUUGUUUUUCUGUAGAUUCUAUCAGAUUUUCUACAUGGGUAAUCAUGUCAAUGGCAAAUAAAGACAGUUUUACUUCUUCCUUUUCAAUAUGGAUGCCAUUUGUUUGUUUAUUAUUUAUCUAUCUUUUCUUUUUGCCACUGGCUAGAAGCUUCAAUACAAUGUUGCCCUUUUUCCUGAUCUUAAGGGAAAGCAUUUGGUUUUUCAUCAUUAAAUAUGAUGUUAGCUGUAGAUUUUUCAUAGAUGCCCUUUAUCCGGUUGAGGAGGUUCUCUCUUCUUCAAUUUCUUGGAAGCGUUUUUACAGAAUUGUUAUUGUUUUUCCUUAAAUGGGACAUUGAGUUUGCAGUAAGCCAUGAUGGUCCACGGCAGUCCAGCCUGGAUGACAGACGGAGACCCUAUCUCUUAAAAAAAAAUGCAGGUUCGGGCCGGGUGCGGUGGCUCAGGCCUGUAAUCCCAGCACUUUGGGAGGCUAAGGCGGGCGGAUCAUGAGGUCAGGAGUUCCAGACCAGCCUGGCCAACAUGGUGAAACCCCAUCUCUACUAAAAUUACAAAAAUAAGUCGGGCAUGGUGGUGGGCACCUGCAAUCCCAGCUACUCGGCAGGCUGAGGCACAAGAAUUGCUUGAACCCGGGACGGGGAGGUUGCAGUGAGCCGAGAUUGUGCCACGGCACUCCAGCCUGGAUAACAGAGCGAGAUUCAUCUCAAAAAAAAAAAAAAAAUGCAGGUUCUGAUCAGCGGGUUUUCCAUGAAAGGUUCACUUAUGCAAAGCAACCCUCACAUGAGGACGGAGCUGAGAAACCAAAGAAUGAGGCUGACAGAUUCGGUUUGUCAGGAGAGGGUGCUCUACUGGGGAACCUGCCACCAGGGGUGGCCUUGGGUGGGACAGGUGCAGCUCUGCACUGUUGCUCCCCAGACCCAGGGCUCAGCUUCUCUGUAGGGAAAGGCUCUGCAUGCUCCACACAGGCAAGAACGCAACAUCGCCUGUCAUCUGUGUAAUAACAUCAAGGCUGCUCUGAUGGAAAGGCAGGAUUCAUAGCGAGUGCACGUUCUUACACUAAGGACAGUAGAUACGGCAGGAAUCGGGGCAUUCCCAGGACGGCGGCUCAUCAGAAGUCUGCACGGUGGAGUAGAACCUAACACGGAGUCACUUCUGUCUCCACAG